rnacentral:rRNA from 1 species
AUUGAACGCUAGCGGGAUGCUUUACACAUGCAAGUCGAACGGCAGCGCGAACUUCGGUUUGGCGGCGAGUGGCGAACGGGUGAGUAAUAUAUCGGAACGUACCCAGUAGCGGGGGAUAACUACUCGAAAGAGUAGCUAAUACCGCAUACGCCCUAAGGGGGAAAGGGGGGGAUCUUCGGACCUCUCACUAUUGGAGCGGCCGAUAUCGGAUUAGCUAGUUGGUGGGGUAAAGGCUCACCAAGGCGACGAUCCGUAGCUGGUUUGAGAGGACGACCAGCCACACUGGGACUGAGACACGGCCCAGACUCCUACGGGAGGCAGCAGUGGGGAAUUUUGGACAAUGGACGCAAGUCUGAUCCAGCCAUUCCGCGUGCAGGAUGAAGGCCCUCGGGUUGUAAACUGCUUUUGUACGGAACGAAAAGGUUUCUCUUAAUACGAGGAGCUCAUGACGGUACCGUAAGAAUAAGCACCGGCUAACUACGUG